AACGUAGGACGCAAGCGUUAUCCGGAGUUACUGGGCGUAAAGCGCGGGCAGGCGGCCUCGCAAGUCUGAUGUGAAAGCACUCUGCUCAACAGAGUGAUGCCAUUGGAAACUACGAGGCUGGAGUCUGGCAGAGGUAGGCGGAAUUCCGGGUGGAGUGGUGAAAUGCGUAGAGAUCCGGAGGAACACCAGAGGCGAAGGCGGCCUACUGGGCCAGUACUGACGCUGAGCCGCGAAAGCUAGGGGAGCGAACGGG
rnacentral:rRNA from 1 species